UACGUAGGGACCAAGCGUUGUUCGGAUUUACUGGGCGUAAAGGGCGCGUAGGCGGCAUAUUAAGUCAGCUGUGAAAUCUCCGAGCUUAACUCGGAACUGUCAGCUGAUACUGAUGUGCUAGAGUGCAGAAAGGGCAAUCAGAAUUCUUGGUGUAGCGGUGAAAUGCGUAGAUAUCAAGAGGAAUACCUGAGGCGAAGGCGGGUUGCUAGGCUGACACUGACGAUGAGGCGCGAAAGCCAGGGGAGCAAACGGG
rnacentral:rRNA from 1 species